rnacentral:rRNA from 1 species
AUUGAACGCUGGCGGCAGGCCUAACACAUGCAAGUCGAGCGGACAGAGGAGGAGCGUGCCUCUCUUACGUGAGCGGCGGGCGGGUGAGGAAUAGGUAUAUAACCGACCGAGGAGACUGAGAUAACUUCGGGAACGCGAAUAUAGUACAGGUCAUGAUAUUGAACGUGAGGGUUCAUUGGACCAAACGCUAUUAGCUGACCCUUGGUGAUGUAACCUCGCCGGAUUAGCUAGUUGGUAAGGUAACGGCCUACCAAGGCUACGAUGCGUAGCCGACCUGAGAGGGUGAUCAGCCACACUGGAACUGAGACACGGUCCAGACUCCUACGGGAGGCAGCAGUAGGGAAUAUUGGGCAAUGGGCGAAAGCCUGAUGCAGCAACGCCGCGUGAGUGAAGAAGGUCUUCGGAUUGUAAAACUCUGUUAGUGGGGAAGAACAACUGUAUAAGUAAAUCUGCCCGUCUUGACGUUACCUACACAGAAAGCAACGGCUAACUACGUG